GGCUACGGUACAGCGAGAAACAAACUUCCCUCUGCGCGCUCGUGGUCCCAACCCACCCCUCCUCACUCCUCUGCUGCAAACAACGCCAAAAUAAUAUUCCCAAAGACAAUCUGGAGUAAGGUAGGACCUAUAGUUUAUGGCCCCCAAAAAGCAGAGCAGAGUAAGAUGCUUUGUGUAAACAACUGAUUUUCUCUAAGUGCCUCGAUGCAUUUCAGAGGCUCUGCCUGACACAUCUCUGACUUCACAGAGCCUGGCCCCGGUCCCGUUGUGUUCGUAUCUCUGGAGCAGCGCAGAAGAAGAGAGUAACUUGGUGUAGCAGCAGCAUCACGUCGGGUGCCGUUCUCAUUUCACAACUAUCGUUUUGGGAAGGCGGAGCGGUCAUUGAUUUUGAAAGGGACCAAAGCACAGGUCAGAAGAAAACCAGAGAGGGAGUGGGAGGCCGAUUAAAAUCCCCCAGGCUGUGUGCUGCAGGGAGAGGAGCUUCAGAAAUGCAGCAGCGUCUCGGCUGUCCUAAAGGUGGAGGCAGGGAUGGAUUGAAGCUCUUCCAGUCUCCUCAUUUUUCCACUUCCUAGAGCAAAUACGUGUGACAGCUCUGUGCACCCAGAGCAGGAACCGCUCCCUCCGGCUCACGGUGGCGUAGACUUUUCCCAUUUUCCGAAGGCUCAGAGCUGUUGGAACCGGCUGAGCCGCGAGCCUGCCAGCUCCGGGUACAGCCUGCGAUCCUUCUGCGUGAGACCCAUUGGGUUUAAUGGCUCAGAUGCAAGAACAAGCUGAUGCACUCUGCUUUUGAGCUUGGCAUUGUGAUAUGCUUGACAGUUACAUAUGAAUAUUAGCCAUCUGCAGGAUAUGAAGAUAUAGCUAUGAUUUCUCUCUUUCUCUAUCUCCUUUUUUUUUUUCUUUUUUUAAUUUUUGUUGGAGCAAAUUAUCGCAGAACCGUGUUUACCAGUGAGGCUCUUUGGUCCGGGAUUGAAACGAGCACUUCCGAGUGCUAUUUGGCAAAUUCUACUGAGAGUAAGAUAAUAA